rnacentral:misc_RNA from 1 species
UUUCCGUAGGUGAACCUGCGGAAGGAUCAUUAAAGUUAUAGUCCCCCGGCCCCUCCGGGCUGGGGUCUUCUAUACCACCCUUUGUUUAUUACACCUUUGUUGCUUUGGCAGGCCUGCCCUCGGGCUGCUGGCUCCGGCCGGCUCGUGCCUGCCAGAGGACCUAAACUCUGUUUGUAUAUGAAGUCUGAGUACUAUAUAAUAGCUAAAACUUUCAACAACGGAUCUCUUGGUUCUG